UAUAUAUAUAUUCUAAGUAAUUUGUGUAUACGUAAAAUAUAUGAAAUAAAAUAUAAAAAUAAUGCUUCGAAGAUUAAAAUAAUAAUUCUCGAUAAAUUAAUCAUAAUGAAAAUUAGAAAACGUUUUGGGACAGAUAUAAUCGUUAUUACUAUUUUACUUAGCACAUUUAGUAGUUUUUAUAUUUGGACACCAGUAUUGAAACGAUUACAAAUUCAACAUGGAAACAAAGAAAAGUCCGACAUCGAACUCUCCAAUGAUGAGGUAUGGGAAGAUCAGUAAAAUAGUAGUUGGAUGUCUUGGAUUAUAUUUUGUUGUUAUAGGAAUCAAAUUGAAGUUAAUGCCAUAUAUUAAACAACAAAAUUUAAAAGAAGCUGAAGAAUAUGCUGAAAGUUUAUAUAGAAGUGAGUUUAAAAAUGAGUUUAAAUAAUAUUGUACUAAUAUAUAUGUAUUAAAACAAAUAUAUAUAUCGCUACAUGAUUUUAUUGAAAUGUAAUUAUUACAUAUAUAAAUAUUAAAUAAUAA